CUCUCCCUGCUGAGCUCGGGGUCUGGGUGCAGCUCACUGCAGUUCACGAACACCUGACCUGCUGGACAGGUAGCAGCUAGAAGAAAGGGGGUUACAUGCUGCAGGCCCUUGGCCUGGGCUGAUGUCAGUGCUGUGUGGGCAGCUGGAAGAGAUGGGCAGCUUCUAGACAUGAUGUGCGUCCCCACGUCACAGGGACAAAGCAGAUAGA
rnacentral:miRNA from 14 species